CCGCGGUGAAUACGUUCCCGGGUCUUGUACACACCGCCCGUCACACCAUGGGAGUUGGUUCUACCUUAAGUCGCCCUCAAAAGCGCCCACGGUACGGGUCAAUGACUGGGGUG
rnacentral:rRNA from 1 species